AUGGACGCAAGUCUGAUGGAGCAACGCCGCGUGAGUGAAGAAGGUUUUCGGAUCGUAAAGCUCUGUUGUUGGUGAAGAAGGAUAGAGGUAGUAACUGGCCUUUAUUUGACGGUAAUCAACCAGAAAGUCACGGCUAACUACGUGCCAGCAGCCGCGGUAAU
rnacentral:rRNA from 1 species